GUGUCUGUAGCCUUGUGGUAAAAGGCAGCACUCUAGAUGCUGAGGUCGUGGGUUUGAAUCCCACCGGACACA
rnacentral:tRNA from 1 species